rnacentral:rRNA from 1 species
UACGUAGGGGGCAAGCGUUGUCCGGAUUUAUUGGGCGUAAAGAGCGUGUAGGCGGCCAGACAGGUCAGCUGUGAAAACUCGAGGCUCAACCUCGAGACGUCGGUUGAAACCGUCUGGCUAGAGUCCGGAAGAGGAGACUGGAAUUCAUGGUGUAGCAGUGAAAUGCGUAGAGAUCAUGAGGAAGACCAGUGGCGAAGGCGGGUCUCUGGACAGUUCCUGACACUGAGACACGAAGGCCAGGGGAGCAAACGGG